AUUGAACGCUGGCGGCAUGCCUUACACGUGCAAGUCGAACGGCAGCACGGGAGCAAUCCUGGUGGCGAGUGGCGAACGGGUGAGUAAUAUAUCGGAACGUGCCCAGUCGUGGGGGAUAACGUAGCGAAAGCUACGCUAAUACCGCAUACGAUCUACGGAUGAAAGCGGGGGAUCGCAAGACCUCGCGCGAUUGGAGCGGCCGAUAUCAGAUUAGGUAGUUGGUGAGGUAAAGGCUCACCAAGCCGACGAUCUGUAGCUGGUCUGAGAGGACGACCAGCCACACUGGGACUGAGACACGGCCCAGACUCCUACGGGAGGCAGCAGUGGGGAAUUUUGGACAAUGGGCGCAAGCCUGAUCCAGCAAUGCCGCGUGCAGGAUGAA
rnacentral:rRNA from 1 species